rnacentral:rRNA from 1 species
CGUAGUACGUUUGACUCCGUGGCUACGAGGACGAACGCUGGCGGCGUGCCUAACACAUGCAAGUCGAGCGGGGACAUACGACGGACAGGAAGUUUUCGGAUGGAAUGGAAGAUGUAUGUUCUAGCGGCGGACGGGUGAGUAACGCGUGAGCAACCUGUCCCUUACAGGGGGGAUAACACAGCGAAAGCUGUACUAAUACCGCAUAAGACCACAGAGAGACAUCUCACAGGGGUCAAAGGAGCAAUCCGGUAAGGGGUGGGCUCGCGUCCGAUUAGAUAGUUGGUGAGGUAACGGCCCACCAAGUCAACGAUCGGUAGCCGACCUGAGAGGGUGAUCGGCCACAUUGGGACUGAGACACGGCCCAAACUCCUACGGGAGGCAGCAGUGGGGAAUAUUGCACAAUGGGCGGAAGCCUGAUGCAGCGAUGCCGCGUGGAGGAAGAAGGUUUUCGGAUUGUAAACUCCUUUUAUCAGGGACGAUAAUGACGGUACCUGAAGAAAAAGCUCCGGCUAACUACGUGCC